GUGAAUCAUCAAAUCUUUGAACGCAAAUUGCACUUCUUGGUAUUCCGAGGAGUACACAUGCUUGAGGGUCAGUUAAAAAAAAUCGUGCAUCUUUGAUGUUGCGGACCUGAGUAUUCCGAUUUUAUUAAUCGGUUAUCUAAAUUAAUAUUAUUUUAUGUUGAGCGUUCCUAUUAUUGUUGCU
rnacentral:misc_RNA from 1 species